GAGUGUGACUUUCAUGAACAGAAAUAGUCUCCAUAAUCUAAUCUCCAGAAUGCACUAAACCAGGAGAAGAUCCACCUGGUCUGCUGGAGUUUGCUGGAGGUCCACUCCAGACCCUGUUUGCCUGGGUAUCACCGGCAGAGGCUGCAGAGCAGCAAAGAUUGCUGCCUGCUCCUUCCUCUGGAAGCUUCAUCCCAAAGGGGCACCCGCCUGAUGCCAGCCAGAGCUCUCCUGUACGAGAGAUGCCCUGCCCAGUGAGGAGGAAUCUAGAGAAGCAGUCUGGCCAUAGCUUUGCUGCACUGCGGUGAGUUCCACCCAGUACAAACUUCCUGGCAGCUUCCUUAACACUGGGAGGGGAAAACCGCCUACUCAAGCCUCAGUAAUCUUUUGUAUUAUUCUUAAGAACAAUUUAAAAAACUACUACUCAUA
rnacentral:lncRNA from 1 species